UACGUAGGGUGCGAGCGUUGUCCGGAAUUAUUGGGCGUAAAGAGCUUGUAGGCGGUUUGUCGCGUCUGCUGUGAAAAUCCGGGGCUCAACCCCGGACUUGCAGUGGGUACGGGCAGACUAGAGUGUGGUAGGGGAGACUGGAAUUCCUGGUGUAGCGGUGGAAUGCGCAGAUAUCAGGAGGAACAUCAGUGGCGAAGGCGGCCCUCUGGUCCAGUACUGACACUCAAGUGCGAAAGCGUGGGGAGCAAACAGG
rnacentral:rRNA from 1 species